GUGGUAGCAUGUGCCUGUCAUCCCAGCGACUCGGGACACUGAGGCAGAAGGAAGACUCGGCUGAGUCCAGGAGUUCUGGCCUGUAGUGUGCUCUGCCUAUGAGGUGUCCACACUAAGUCCAGCAUCAGUAUGGUGACCUUCCAAGGGAAGAGGGGACCACUAGGUUGCCUAAGGAGGGGUGAACUGGCCCAUGUUGGAAACAGUAGGUCAGUAGUGGGGUUACACCUGUGAAUGAAUAGCUGCUGUACUCCACCCUGAGCAACAUAACAAGAGCCUGUCUCAU
rnacentral:SRP_RNA from 1 species